rnacentral:rRNA from 1 species
UCAGAACGAACGCUGGCGGCAGGCUUAACACAUGCAAGUCGAGCGCACUCUUCGGAGUGAGCGGCGGACGGGUUAGUAACGCGUGGGAACGUGCCCUUCUCUAAGGAAUAGCCACUGGAAACGGUGAGUAAUACCUUAUACGCCCUUCGGGGGAAAGAUUUAUCGGAGAAGGAUCGGCCCGCGUUAGAUUAGAUAGUUGGUGGGGUAAUGGCCUACCAAGUCUACGAUCUAUAGCUGGUUUUAGAGGAUGAUCAGCAACACUGGGACUGAGACACGGCCCAGACUCCUACGGGAGGCAGCAGUGGGGAAUCUUGGACAAUGGGCGCAAGCCUGAUCCAGCCAUGCCGCGUGAGUGAUGAAGGCCUUAGGGUCGUAAAGCUCUUUCGCCAGAGAUGAUAAUGACAGUAUCUGGUAAAGAAACCCCGGCUAACUCCGUGCCAGCAGCCGCGGUAAUACGGAGGGGGUUAGCGUUGUUCGGAAUUACUGGGCGUAAAGCGCACGUAGGCGGAUCAGAAAGUAUAGGGUGAAAUCCCAGGGCUCAACCCUGGAACUGCCUUGUAAACUCCUGGUCUUGAGUUCGAGAGAGGUGAGUGGAAUUCCGAGUGUAGAGGUGAAAUUCGUAGAUAUUCGGAGGAACACCAGUGGCGAAGGCGGCUCACUGGCUCGAUACUGACGCUGAGGUGCGAAAGUGUGGGGAGCAAACAGGAUUAGAUACCCUGGUAGUCCACACCGUAAACGAUGAAUGCCAGACGUCAGCAAGCAUGCUUGUUGGUGUCACACCUAACGGAUUA